rnacentral:rRNA from 1 species
GGUUAAGCGACUAAGCGUACACGGUGGAUGCCCUGGCAGUCAGAGGCGAUGAAGGACGUGCUAAUCUGCGAUAAGCGUCGGUAAGGUGAUAUGAACCGUUAUAACCGGCGAUUUCCGAAUGGGGAAACCCAGUGUGUUUCGACACACUAUCAUUAACUGAAUCCAUAGGUUAAUGAGGCGAACCGGGGGAACUGAAACAUCUAAGUACCCCGAGGAAAAGAAAUCAACCGAGAUUCCCCCAGUAGCGGCGAGCGAACGGGGAGCAGCCCAGAGCCUGAAUCAGUGUGUGUGUUAGUGGAAGCGUCUGGAAAGGCGCGCGAUACAGGGUGACAGCCCCGUACACAAAAAUGCACAUGCUGUGAGCUCGAUGAGUAGGGCGGGACACGUGGUAUCCUGUCUGAAUAUGGGGGGACCAUCCUCCAAGGCUAAAUACUCCUGACUGACCGAUAGUGAACCAGUACCGUGAGGGAAAGGCGAAAAGAACCCCGGCGAGGGGAGUGAAAAAGAACCUGAAACCGUGUACGUACAAGCAGUGGGAGCACGCUUAGGCGUGUGACUGCGUACCUUUUGUAUAAUGGGUCAGCGACUUAUAUUCUGUAGCAAGGUUAACCGAAUAGGGGAGCCGAAGGGAAACCGAGUCUUAACUGGGCGUUAAGUUGCAGGGUAUAGACCCGAAACCCGGUGAUCUAGCCAUGGGCAGGUUGAAGGUUGGGUAACACUAACUGGAGGACCGAACCGACUAAUGUUGAAAAAUUAGCGGAUGACUUGUGGCUGGGGGUGAAAGGCCAAUCAAACCGGGAGAUAGCUGGUUCUCCCCGAAAGCUAUUUAGGUAGCGCCUCGUGAAUUCAUCUCCGGGGGUAGAGCACUGUUUCGGCAAGGGGGUCNNNNNNACUUACCAACCCGAUGCAAACUGCGAAUACCGGAGAAUGUUAUCACGGGAGACACACGGCGGGUGCUAACGUCCGUCGUGAAGAGGGAAACAACCCAGACCGCCAGCUAAGGUCCCAAAGUCAUGGUUAAGUGGGAAACGAUGUGGGAAGGCCCAGACAGCCAGGAUGUUGGCUUAGAAGCAGCCAUCAUUUAAAGAAAGCGUAAUAGCUCACUGGUCGAGUCGGCCUGCGCGGAAGAUGUAACGGGGCUAAACCAUGCACCGAAGCUGCGGCAGCGACGCUUAUGCGUUGUUGGGUAGGGGAGCGUUCUGUAAGCCUGCGAAGGUGUGCUGUGAGGCAUGCUGGAGGUAUCAGAAGUGCGAAUGCUGACAUAAGUAACGAUAAAGCGGGUGAAAAGCCCGCUCGCCGGAAGACCAAGGGUUCCUGUCCAACGUUAAUCGGGGCAGGGUGAGUCGACCCCUAAGGCGAGGCCGAAAGGCGUAGUCGAUGGGAAACAGGUUAAUAUUCCUGUACUUGGUGUUACUGCGAAGGGGGGACGGAGAAGGCUAUGUUGGCCGGGCGACGGUUGUCCCGGUUUAAGCGUGUAGGCUGGUUUUCCAGGCAAAUCCGGAAAAUCAAGGCUGAGGCGUGAUGACGAGGCACUACGGUGCUGAAGCAACAAAUGCCCUGCUUCCAGGAAAAGCCUCUAAGCAUCAGGUAACAUCAAAUCGUACCCCAAACCGACACAGGUGGUCAGGUAGAGAAUACCAAGGCGCUUGAGAGAACUCGGGUGAAGGAACUAGGCAAAAUGGUGCCGUAACUUCGGGAGAAGGCACGCUGAUAUGUAGGUGAGGUCCCUCGCGGAUGGAGCUGAAAUCAGUCGAAGAUACCAGCUGGCUGCAACUGUUUAUUAAAAACACAGCACUGUGCAAACACGAAAGUGGACGUAUACGGUGUGACGCCUGCCCGGUGCCGGAAGGUUAAUUGAUGGGGUUAGCGCAAGCGAAGCUCUUGAUCGAAGCCCCGGUAAACGGCGGCCGUAACUAUAACGGUCCUAAGGUAGCGAAAUUCCUUGUCGGGUAAGUUCCGACCUGCACGAAUGGCGUAAUGAUGGCCAGGCUGUCUCCACCCGAGACUCAGUGAAAUUGAACUCGCUGUGAAGAUGCAGUGUACCCGCGGCAAGACGGAAAGACCCCGUGAACCUUUACUAUAGCUUGACACUGAACAUUGAGCCUUGAUGUGUAGGAUAGGUGGGAGGCUUUGAAGUGUGGACGCCAGUCUGCAUGGAGCCGACCUUGAAAUACCACCCUUUAAUGUUUGAUGUUCUAACGUUGACCCGUAAUCCGGGUUGCGGACAGUGUCUGGUGGGUAGUUUGACUGGGGCGGUCUCCUCCUAAAGAGUAACGGAGGAGCACGAAGGUUGGCUAAUCCUGGUCGGACAUCAGGAGGUUAGUGCAAUGGCAUAAGCCAGCUUGACUGCGAGCGUGACGGCGCGAGCAGGUGCGAAAGCAGGUCAUAGUGAUCCGGUGGUUCUGAAUGGAAGGGCCAUCGCUCAACGGAUAAAAGGUACUCCGGGGAUAACAGGCUGAUACCGCCCAAGAGUUCAUAUCGACGGCGGUGUUUGGCACCUCGAUGUCGGCUCAUCACAUCCUGGGGCUGAAGUAGGUCCCAAGGGUAUGGCUGUUCGCCAUUUAAAGUGGUACGCGAGCUGGGUUUAGAACGUCGUGAGACAGUUCGGUCCCUAUCUGCCGUGGGCGCUGGAGAACUGAGGGGGGCUGCUCCUAGUACGAGAGGACCGGAGUGGACGCAUCACUGGUGUUCGGGUUGUCAUGCCAAUGGCACUGCCCGGUAGCUAAAUGCGGAAGAGAUAAGUGCUGAAAGCAUCUAAGCACGAAACUUGCCCCGAGAUGAGUUCUCCCUGACCCUUUAAGGGUCCUGAAGGAACGUUGAAGACGACGACGUUGAUAGGCCGGGUGUGUAAGCGCAGCGAUGCGUUGAGCUAACCGGUACUAAUGAACCGUGAGGCUUAACCUU